UUUUCCUGAGGGCAUGGUUGGCUGCCCCGAGUGCAGGACACACCUGCAGCUGCCCUCCGGCCAGGCGUUGCUGGAGUGCGAGACCUAGCACCACCACGCCAGGUGUCAAACCCUGUCCACCCACAGGCUCGUAGCGCUGGUCUCUAAACGGAAAAGGGGCCCCGCCGUUUGGCUUCUCAGAGCAUGAGUUCCCCUGUUCCCUCUCAGGUGUGGACAGCCACCUGCACACAGGAACACGCAAACAGAUGUGUCACCGUUUUGAUUAUCCGUCACCUGUAAGGGGAUAUGCAGACGUGCCGGACGGAUGAAGGCUGAAUGGGGCAACGUCAUUCUGGAACGAAAAGCCCGGUUGUCGCUCCUGGUCACUGUUCAGGAUCAGAACACACGGACUGGAUACGAAUAGUUGGACGCUGAUUGGUUUUCGCGGGAGUGAGGGGGCUGGGGACACCUGCAGGAUCAGAGCUGGCACCAGCUCUGCAGGAUCAGAGCUGGCACCAGCUCUUGCUUUUCUGGAUGUUUCUACUGCCAGAGGCAGGGGCAGGGCUGACGAACGCCUGGGCCUUGGACCGGGACCUGCUCAGCGGCCCGUCCUGGGCUCUGUGCGUCCGCGGCCUUCCUGGCUUCUGCUCCCCUUGGCUCCAGCAUCACCUCGUGGACUCCGGGCUUAUUAGGAAAGUUCCAGCUGGCUGUGCCCAGGGGUCCAGUGCCCCGUGGACCUCGGCCGGCGGCCUCGGGAAGGAGAUCAAAAGCUUGCCGGGCCACCCACGACACCGUGGCCUGUGUCUUGAAUCCCGUUUGCAGUGGAUUCUGCAUCACCAAAGUUGGGCAUGACCGCCGGGGGUGCUGGAGGGACCUGGCAAGUUCCUGCGGAGCCAGGACGGAGUCAGCCGUGCCCGGAGGAGGGCCGGGGUCCCACAGGGCCUUGCCUCCAACGCCUGCUUUCCUGCUACAACCUCUCCUAGCUUCUUGGCCUUGCUUGGCCUCCGAGAAGGAACUUCUUAAUUGACCAAGGGUGAACACUGGAAAGUUCUUUCCAUCUUAGCACCUCUCCCGUGUUGACCUGCCGAGCUUCCGGAUGCACGUUGUUCUGCAGCCUUACUAGCAUCGGAUGGAAAAUAGCAUCUCCCUGUGCCUUCCGUCGGAGCCGUGUCCUUGCUCAUGGGCCCAGCUUCUCUGCCAGCCUGCUUCGCCACACGGUCCCCAUCCGGUCCCCACCCGGUCCCCACAUGCUUUCUCACGGGGCAGGACCACCACGGGCCCCGCAAACAGGGAGCAGAACGUGUCCUUUUGCAAAGUCUUCCUUCCUGAUGAUGUACAUAUUCAAUCUGGUCCCCUUUUCGCCUUCCCUGUCUCAGGCCGAGGCACUCGCAGGGGCUUUUGCAGCUCACGGAUGACUUCUCCAGCCACGGCCAGUCCCCUGAGAAGCCCGUCGGAGGCGCGCCCCCUUUCCGUGACGCAGGGUGAUCAUAGAGGAUCCAGUGUAGACUCCGGAGCUCUCCCGAGAUGCAGAAACACUAGCUUGGAGGAGCCUGGGUGCCUGAGUGACUGUGUGGAGCAGCACUUGCUGCUGACAUUCGCUGGGUGUCAUGUGAACAAUGAAGACGUCUAUUGCAUUAAAGCCACCAAGAUUUUGGGGUCAUUACUGCAGUGAACCUACCCUUUAAGACAUUGGAUAGGCAUGAACACCUGCUCAAAAAAAUGAUUUUUGAAUGCUGAUCAACUGGCUGCCAACUCUAGGCAUCCCAGUGAUAAAAACCAAAAUAAAACAGAAAAUAAAUGUU